AGGGCGCACGGUGGAUGCCUUGGCACUAGAAGCCGAUGAAGGACGUUACUAACGACGAUAUGCUUUGGGGAGCUGUAAGUAAGCUUUGAUCCAGAGAUUUCCGAAUGGGGAAACCCAGCAUGAGUUAUGUCAUGUUAUCGAUAUGUGAAUACAUAGCAUAUCAGAAGGCACACCCGGAGAACUGAAACAUCUUAGUACCCGGAGGAAGAGAAAGAAAAUUCGAUUCCCUUAGUAGCGGCGAGCGAAACGGGAAGAGCCCAAACCAACAAGCUUGCUUGUUGGGGUUGUAGGACACUCUAUACGGAGUUACAAAGGACGACAUUAGACGAAUCAUCUGGAAAGAUGAAUCAAAGAAGGUAAUAAUCCUGUAGUCGAAAAUGUUGUCUCUCUUGAGUGGAUCCUGAGUACGACGGAGCACGUGAAAUUCCGUCGGAAUCUGGGAGGACCAUCUCCUAAGGCUAAAUACUCUCUAGUGACCGAUAGUGAACCAGUACCGUGAGGGAAAGGUGAAAAGCACCCCGGAAGGGGAGUGAAAUAGAACCUGAAACCGUGUGCUUACAAGUAGUCAGAGCCCGUUAAUGGGUGAUGGCGUGCCUUUUGUAGAAUGAACCGGCGAGUUACGAUUUGAUGCAAGGUUAAGCAGUAAAUGUGGAGCCGUAGCGAAAGCGAGUCUGAAUAGGGCGUUUAGUAUUUGGUCGUAGACCCGAAACCAGGUGAUCUACCCUUGGUCAGGUUGAAGUUCAGGUAACACUGAAUGGAGGACCGAACCGACUUACGUUGAAAAGUGAGCGGAUGAACUGAGGGUAGCGGAGAAAUUCCAAUCGAACCUGGAGAUAGCUGGUUCUCUCCGAAAUAGCUUUAGGGCUAGCCUCAAGUGAUGAUUAUUGGAGGUAGAGCACUGUUUGGACGAGGGGCCCCUCUCGGGUUACCGAAUUCAGACAAACUCCGAAUGCCAAUUAAUUUAACUUGGGAGUCAGAACAUGGGUGAUAAGGUCCGUGUUCGAAAGGGAAACAGCCCAGACCACCAGCUAAGGUCCCAAAAUAUAUGUUAAGUGGAAAAGGAUGUGGCGUUGCCCAGACAACUAGGAUGUUGGCUUAGAAGCAGCCAUCAUUUAAAGAGUGCGUAAUAGCUCACUAGUCGAGUGACACUGCGCCGAAAAUGUACCGGGGCUAAACAUAUUACCGAAGCUGUGGAUUGUCCUUUGGACAAUGGUAGGAGAGCGUUCUAAGGGCGUUGAAGCAUGAUCGUAAGGACAUGUGGAGCGCUUAGAAGUGAGAAUGCCGGUGUGAGUAGCGAAAGACGGGUGAGAAUCCCGUCCACCGAUUGACUAAGGUUUCCAGAGGAAGGCUCGUCCGCUCUGGGUUAGUCGGGUCCUAAGCUGAGGCCGACAGGCGUAGGCGAUGGAUAACAGGUUGAUAUUCCUGUACCACCUAUAAUCGUUUUAAUCGAUGGGGGGACGCAGUAGGAUAGGCGAAGCGUGCGAUUGGAUUGCACGUCUAAGCAGUAAGGCUGAGUAUUAGGCAAAUCCGGUACUCGUUAAGGCUGAGCUGUGAUGGGGAGAAGACAUUGAGUCUUCGAGUCGUUGAUUUCACACUGCCGAGAAAAGCCUCUAGAUAGAAAAUAGGUGCCCGUACCGCAAACCGACACAGGUAGUCAAGAUGAGAAUUCUAAGGUGAGCGAGCGAACUCUCGUUAAGGAACUCGGCAAAAUGACCCCGUAACUUCGGGAGAAGGGGUGCUCUUUAGGGUUAACGCCCAGAAGAGCCGCAGUGAAUAGGCCCAAGCGACUGUUUAUCAAAAACACAGGUCUCUGCUAAACCGUAAGGUGAUGUAUAGGGGCUGACGCCUGCCCGGUGCUGGAAGGUUAAGAGGAGUGGUUAGCUUCUGCGAAGCUACGAAUCGAAGCCCCAGUAAACGGCGGCCGUAACUAUAACGGUCCUAAGGUAGCGAAAUUCCUUGUCGGGUAAGUUCCGACCCGCACGAAAGGCGUAACGAUUUGGGCACUGUCUCAACGA
rnacentral:rRNA from 1 species